CAGCUCCAGGACAUCUUCACGCUGCCCGGGACCCCACGCCUCGCCGUCCGCCUGGGCCUGGCCCCUCCGUGACAGUGGCCGCAGCUGCUCAGCCUCCCGCGGGGCCCUCUGGGCACAGGGGUGGGUGGACCUGGAGCCUGACCUUCCUCUGCCUCCCUGCUCCUGCGUGAGCAGCAUGCUGUCUCCCUCUUCCCGAGCUACCCACCGUGGCCCCUGGCCUUGCACGCCUCCAUGUGUCCCCGAUCCCGGGGCUGCGGGGGCCUCUCCCAAGCAGACCUCCCACGAAGGCGCCACCGGCACCUCAGCGCGACCGGGAUCCCGAGUGGGCAUCUCGUGUGGGGCUCUGCCUUCCCUCCAGCCUCUGGAUGUGUGUGCACCAGGGCUGCGAAGGACUCUGAGGUCGCCUCCACUGGGGACUGUCUUGGGCGGGCGUCAUGGCAGCUCCAAGUCUCAGCCCAGAUCCUGAGAUGCAGCAGGCGUGGGGUGCGUUUGCUGAGUGAAUGAUGGUGUGCACAGUGCAGGGCUGGAGGCCAGCUGUGUCCCAGCACGGCCUGCGUCUCGGGUGCGGCCCCAGAGCUGCCAGGAGAGGAGCCAAGCGCCUGCCCUGCAGAGGACCCUCUCCUGCUGGCAGCGGACGAGCUGAGCGUCUGUGGCCAUCAGGGCCUCAGCCUGGCUUGGGAGGACUCGAGCAGGGCCACAGGCACACUGCGGCUCCCUGGAGACUGUGGCUGCAGUACCGUCGCACUCAGCGCCGCUUAGCCAGCGACAGCGCGAGGAUGACUUCACGUGGUCAGCCCCACUGCUGAGGCCUCCUGGAUGGCUCCGCCCGCCCGGUCAGCAGCCCCGGCCAGGAAGAGUGUGGGUCGUUCCACCUCCUUUUCCCUUCCGGGACGGAUGAACCCCUACUCGGCCCCCAGCAAGACACCCCGCUCCUGACCAGGCGAGGUUUCUCCUCGGGCUCUGGCCCCAGGCACGAAAUGCUGGCCACGUGGGUGGGGGUUGCUCCCUGCAGGGAGCUGCCUAUCCAGAGAGCAGAGCAGCAGAAGACCAAAUGGGAUUUGUGAGUCCCCGGCGGAUGGAGGGCUCACUUCACCUGACAGCAGCCAGCCAGUGCCUUGCCCUGGAGCCUCACCUUCCAGCCUGGAGAGCUGUGCAAAAUAAAUUUCUGCUGCGAAUCACUGUUUGUGGUGCCCGGUCCCGACUGCCCACAGGCACACAGAGGUUGCGAGGCAGAGGAGGCCCAGGUUG
ensembl:lncRNA